rnacentral:rRNA from 2 species
CGGGGGGGGGCCCAAAUAAUGCAAGUCGAGCGACUGAUUAGAAGCUUGCUUCUAUGACGUUAGCGGCGGACGGGUGAGUAACACGUGGGCAACCUGCCUGUAAGACUGGGAUAACUUCGGGAAACCGAAGCUAAUACCGGAUAGGAUCUUCUCCUUCAUGGGAGAUGAUUGAAAGAUGGUUUCGGCUAUCACUUACAGAUGGGCCCGCGGUGCAUUAGCUAGUUGGUGAGGUAACGGCUCACCAAGGCAACGAUGCAUAGCCGACCUGAGAGGGUGAUCGGCCACACGGGGACUGAGACACGGCCCAGACUCCUACGGGAGGCAGCAGUAGGGAAUCUUCCGCAAUGGACAAAAGUCUGACGGAGCAACGCCGCGUGAGUGAUGAAGGCUUUCGGGUCGUAAAACUCUGUUGUUAGGGAAAAACAAGUACAAAAGUAACUGCUCGUACCUUGACGGUACCUAACCAAAAAGCCACGGCUAACUACGUGCCAGCAGCCGCGGUAAUACGUAGGUGGCAAGCGUUAUCCGGAAUUAUUGGGCGUAAAGCGCGCGCAGGCGGUUUCUUAAGUCUGAUGUGAAAGCCCACGGCUCAACCGUGGAGGGUCAUUGAAAACUGGGGAACUUGAGUGCAGAAAAAAAAAGCGGAAUUCCACGUGUAGCGGUGAAAUGCGUAAAGAUGUGGAGGAACACCAGUGGCGAAGGCGGCUUUUUUGGUCUGUAAACUGACGCUGAGGCGCGAAAGCGUGGGAGCAAACAGGAAUUAGAUACCCCUGGUAGUCCCACGCCGUAAACGAUGAGUGCUAAGUGUAGAGGGUUUUCCGCCCUUUUAGUGCUGCAGCUAACGCAUUAAGCCACUCCGCCUGGGGAGUACGUCGCAAGACUGAAACUCAAAGGGAUUUGAACGGAGCCCGCACAGCGCUGCAGCAUGUGUUUAAUUCGGAAAGCCACGCGCCGAAAGAACAC